UAUAUGACCGAUCAUUCUCUUCCAAAGCUAUGAAACAUUCUCUCUCUUUUCUCAUCCAAACCUCCGGCUCCCACAGUAUCCUGAAUCAGGGUUAACAUUUCCGGUCACGGUUAGGGCUCCAGCGAUUGUUAGGGGUUUUGUGCAGAUGAAUCCCGCGACAAGGUACUUCCUGCGAAUCGUUCAUUUGAUUAACGCUGUUGUGCAAAACCGAAGAACCUGCGAACUCUUCAGAUUUCGUCUCAUCCAGGAUUCCGAGAAGUGACAGCAGAUGAUCGAACAAAAUAGGUUCUUUCAUAUAACCUCAUUGAUCAUUUUAUUCAAAAGUUUAAAUAUUAUUGAAAUAAUAUGCUAAUUAUACCUGCCACACUAAUUAUUUAUAAAAAGUUGGACGAUCAGUUUUUGUGGGCCUAUUUGAAUCUGUAAAAAAGGACACAUUUUGACCCGUUACCCAUAUUGUCUCACUCAUCAUCGCUCAAAAUCGAACAUCUGAAUGUCAAUUUCAAAGGUACGGUUACUCAAUUGUUUCAUCACUUAUGUUGAUUUUGUUGUGUUUUUGUUUUUGUUUAUGCUCCAACUAAACCCCUGUCAAUGUAAACCCAGGCGGCACAGACUUUAGAGAAUAGUCCAAUGUUGAUGAUGGGUUGUUUCCAAGGCUAAACGACUCAAUAAGAGUAGGCGUACCCUAAUUCACUUUCAACCAUUCAAACUUUAAUUAAUGCUGCGGUAUCACGUAAUGGUCGCAAUGUAGCCUUGGUUAUUCGCCUUCAUUUUCAUGAUUGUUUCGUUCAGGUUAUGAUCUUUAUUCCAUUCCAUUAUGCUUUUUUUUGGUGAACUGUAAGGUUUUUUUCUAGGCUUCUAAUCUAAUCUAUAUUUGAUGCAAUCAGAGUGACAUCGGUAAUCAUGUUUGUUUGGUUAAGAUCUGCCCAUUGCGUAACAAUGUCCGUUUGGUUGUUAGGGUUUAGAUUUCUUUAUAUGAUUCUGGUGUUUUGAAAUCAGUUUGUUUUUCUUAAAUUUACUUUGUUUUUUCUGUGAAUCCAAUACCAGAUUGUGUAAAUACGACUGAAAUGUGUUGGGUGUGAAAAGUGUCGUCUGUAGGGAAACCGCACUCAAAAUCUUGUUCUCUGCUGACGGUCAAAAUGAUCGAGAUCAGCCUUUGCAAAGGAUUGAAGUAAUAUCAUUGAUGAAUCUGCUCAAUCGUCUCUCGGAAUCACUUAAAUCACUGAUAUGGCUUCAUCUGAUUUCAUGAAAUUAAGAGGGCUUCAAAUGCGCUCAUUGGGGCAUGUGAAUAUCAAUAGGCAACGAACCACCUACACAAGAGCUUGUGGCCAGGGAUUUACAUGACCAUGUAUGGACGUUUUGCCAUAUUUAUUGUGGGUAACCUAAGCAUCACUUGCUCACAACUAGCCGGAGUCUCUUUGUUAAUGGGAAGAGGCUUUUGCAGGAGACUCGGUCUUGUUAAUUAUACUCCUCUGCAGUCAAACGUGCUAGAACCGAUGGUAUGUUCACAUGAUAACCUUUUUUUCUUUUUCCAGCUACCCUUUUACCUGUACACCAUUUAAUUGAUCUAUCUUCUUAUGAAUUUACUUGAAAAUUUGUGUUUGGCUACAUGUCAUUAUGUGCUAUCUGGUGCGUUGGUGUUUUAAUACAAUUAAAAGUGGUAAUUUUGACUCCUUAUCUUAGAAAGGUUUGAUCUCUGCCUCAGGGCAGUUGGGUGUCAUAAUCUAUUACACUUAAUUCAACUGUAAUGUUCACUUGGUUUUCUUGUGUGAUUCAGUCUUAUUUUGAGAGGUUGGCAAGACAAGAUUUAAUUUCAUGUUUGGUGUUUAGUUUUGAAUUUAUUUUUCUCUAAUUUCAGGUCAUAUAUAUUCUGAAAGAUAUCCUUAGUUGAUACUUGUAAAGCAUUAAUUAUCUAUAUGAAAAGUUCUCAAUACACAUUUUCAAAGGCUCCAAUACAUCUACAGAAAUGACAUCUAUUUUGGAGAUUUAAUUCCCUUGUUUUGUUAAAAUUUUCUCUUAUAUUUUAUAUUAUAAUAAUAGAGUAUGGAAUGAUAGGUUUUGUUUUUGUUGGAGAUAUUUUAUGGCUGGACAUGUCCGAGCUGUGGGAAUGUCAAUUUUUCAUUUAGGCCAAGUUGCAAUAUGCGUAAUUGUACGCAACCUCGACCAGCUGAUCAUAAUUCAUUGUGAACUGUAGUAAGCUAGGUACAUCUAUUGAUCAGAUAUGUUUGUUGUGAUCUUCUAGCUAACUUUGAUGAAGCUUGUUUAUUAUAAUUGUCCAAGUAAGAAGUAAGUAUUGAUGUGGGUGUACCCCCACCCUAUGCAACAUCUUAUGAUGGUCCAUUAUCUGGUCCUGGUGCUUCUGCUUAUCAUUACUACAACAACCGCCUUGCUGGAGGGACCGCCUAUCGACCGCUGCAACUUUCCGCCACACCCCCUUAUUCUGCUGGCCCCAUCAUUGGUAAUGAACUGGAUGCCACGAGGGAGAAAAAUGGCAUAUAUAUACACCACAUGAUCGUUACCUGAGUGAAGAAGCUGCCAAGAAGUUGGCUACUCUCAACUGUUACACCAAAUUAGAACUUGCUGUGUUUUUGGAUGUGUCUUUAGGUAGGAUCCAUCUGAAGUAAUGCAUAGCCACAUUGUGAUGGUCCUUGCAAACCUGAUAAGACAUAUAUCUCUAUCUACAUGCUAAAAGUAUUGUUUAUUUUUAUUUGGAAGUUAUAAUUAUUGGUUACGGAUCUGGCCAACAGAAAUAUUUUUACCAUGUUGCGGUUUCAACAAAUAGAACGACAACAUUACAAGUUCUAAAUUGUCCAAAUCGUCCUUCUCAACUGUUACGCCAAGUUUUAGAUGCUACCUUACAUGUAUGUCCUCUGUACUCCCAUCAAAUUAUAUACGUAUUCGCCAUUUAUUAUGCUAUUCUUUAAUUCCUUUUGUUUA